rnacentral:lncRNA from 1 species
UUGGCAAGCAAUUCAGGCAUCAGUAACAAUCAAUAUGUAGGACUUGAGAGACGAGUUCCAUUUUCCAGAUAUGAACAACCUAUUAGACUUGAGAUAAAGGGUUCUGUUUGCAGGUUCACAAAUCUAGAAAUAGUCUAAUCGAACUCAAGUAGGAAAUCUGGUAAGGGUAGAUCUUGCAAAUAAGAAAAUGAACUACCACGCAGGUUUUGUGAAGCAAAAAGCAUGUCACUUUCAUAAACCAAAUCAGAAUCAAAUGAGCAGGGAAUGUAACUAGGGCUAGAAAGGCGGUUAAUGAAAUCGUCAUCAAAUGAAGGUACCUUAGAGUUCAAGGAUGAAUCGGACGAAAAGGAUAUGAGAUCUUGAUUUGGUUCAACGAGGGACUGAACUUGUUGUCCAGUACUGUCAGGUUCUAUUUCUUCCUCAAGGA